rnacentral:rRNA from 1 species
GAUGAACGCUGGCGGCGUGCUUAACACAUGCAAGUCGAACGGGAAACCUUUUAAUGAAGCUUCGGCAGAUUUAGCUGGUUUCUAGUGGCGGACGGGUGAGUAACGCGUGGGUAACCUGCCUUAUACAGGGGGAUAACAACCAGAAAUGGUUGCUAAUACCGCAUAAGCGCACAGGACCGCAUGGUCCGGUGUGAAAAACUCCGGUGGUAUAAGAUGGACCCGCGUUGGAUUAGCUAGUUGGUGGGGUAACGGCCCACAAAGGCGACGAUCCAUAGCCGGACUGAGAGGGUGAACGGCCACAUUGGGACUGAGACACGGCCCAGACUCCUACGGGAGGCAGCAGUGGGGAAUAUUGCACAAUGGGGGAAACCCUGAUGCAGCGACGCCGCGUGAAGGAAGAAGUAUCUCGGUAUGUAAACUUCUAUCAGCAGGGAAGAUAGUGACGGUACCUGACUAAGAAGCCCCGGCUAACUACGUGCCAGCAGCCGCGGUAA